rnacentral:rRNA from 1 species
CCCUAGUAACGGCGAGUGAAGCGGCAACAGCUCAAAUUUGAAAGCUGGCUUAGGCCCGCAUUGUAAUUUGCAGAGGAUGCUUCUGGCGAGGUGCCUUCCGAGUUCCCUGGAACGGGACGCCAUAGAGGGUGAGAGCCCCGUAUGGAUGGACACCAAACCUGUGUGAAGCUCCUUCAACGAGUCGAGUAGUUUGGGAAUGCUGCUCUAAAUGGGAGGUAAAUCUCUUCUAAAGCUAAAUACCGGCCAGAGACCGAUAGCGCACAAGUAGAGUGAUCGAAAGAUGAAAAGCACCUUGAAAAGGGGGUUAAACAGUACGUGAAAUUGUUGAAAGGGAAGCGCUUGUGACCAGACUUGCGCCGGGCAGCUCAUCAGGGGUUCUCCCCUGUGCACUCUGCCCGGCUCAGGCCAGCAUCGGUUCUUGUGGGAGGAUAAGAACGGUAGGAACGUGGCCCCCCUCCGGGGGGGUGUUAUAGCCUGCCGUACGAUACUCCCGUGGGGACCGAGGUUCGCGCUCCGCAAGGAUGCUGGCGUAAUGGUCAUCAGCGACCCGUCUUGAAACACGGACCAAGGAGUCGUCCAUUAGAGCGAGCGUUUGGGUGUAAAACCCGCACGCGUAAUGAAAGUGAACGCAGGUGAGAGCUUCGGCGCAUCAUCGACCGAUCCUGAUGUCUUCGGAUGGAUUUGAGUAAGAGUUUUAACGGACGGACCCGAAAGACAGUGAACUAUGCUUGUAUAGGGUGAAGCCAGAGGAACUCUGGUGGAGGCUCGCAGCGGUUCUGACGUGCAAAUCGAUCGUCAAAUAUGAGCAUGG